GGAGGCAGCAGUGAGGAAUAUUGGUCAAUGGACAUGAGUCUGAACCAGCCAAGUGGCGAGAAGGAUGACUGCCUUAAGGGUUGUAAACUUGUUUUAUACUGGAAUAAAGGACACUACGUGUAAGUUGUUGUAUGUACCAUAAGAAUAAGCAUCGGCUAACUCCGUGCCAGCAGCCGCGGUAAUACGGAGGAUACCAGCGUUAUCCGGAUUUAUUGGGUUUAAAGGGAGCGUAGGUGGAGGAUUAAGUCAGUGGUGAAAGUUUCAGGCUCAACCGUAAAACUGCAGUUGAUACUGGGUUUCUUGAGUACAGUAGAGGUGGGCGGAAUUCGUGGUGUAGCGGUGAAAUGCUUAGAUAUCACGAAGAACUCCAAUUGCGAAGGCAGCUCACUAGACAGGCACUGACACUGAUGCUCGAAAGCGUGGGCAUCAAACAGGAUUAGAUACCCUGGUAGUCCACACAGUAAACGAUGAAUAGCCGCUGUGUGCGAUAUACAGUAAGCGGCCAAGCUACGCGAUAAGUGACCA
rnacentral:rRNA from 1 species